UACGAAGGGGGCUAGCGUUGCUCGGAAUCACUGGGCGUAAAGCGCACGUAGGCGGCUUUCUAAGUCAGGGGUGAAAUCCUGGAGCUCAACUCCAGAACUGCCUUUGAUACUGGAACGCUUGAGUCCGGGAGAGGUGAGUGGAACUGCGAGUGUAGAGGUGAAAUUCGUAGAUAUUCGCAAGAACACCAGUGGCGAAGGCGGCUCACUGGCCCGGUACUGACGCUGAGGUGCGAAAGCGUGGGGAGCAAACAGG
rnacentral:rRNA from 1 species